AACGAACGCUGGCGGCAUGCCUAACACAUGCAAGUCGAACGAGACCUUCGGGUCUAGUGGCGCACGGGUGCGUAACGCGUGGGAACCUGCCCUUAGGUUCGGAAUAACUCCCCGAAAGGGGUGCUAAUACCGGAUAAGGUCUUCGGACCAAAGAUUUAUCGCCUUAGGAUGGGCCCGCGUUGGAUUAGCUAGUUGGUAGGGUAAAAGCCUACCAAGGCGACGAUCCAUAGCUGGUCUGAGAGGAUGAUCAGCCACACUGGGACUGAGACACGGCCCAGACUCCUACGCGAGGCAGCAGUGGGGAAUAUUGGACAAUGGGCGAAAGCCUGAUCCAGCAAUGCCGCGUGAGUGAUGAAGGCCUUAGGGUUGUAAAGCUCUUUUACCCGGGAUGAUAAUGACAGUACCGGGAGAAUAAGCUCCGGCUAACUCCGUG
rnacentral:rRNA from 1 species